ACACUCGCGGCAGCAGCACAUAUACUAAAAUUGGGACAAUACAGAGAAGAUUAGCAUGACCCCUAAGCAAGGAUGACAUGCAAAUUUGUGAAGCAUUCCAUAUUUAA
rnacentral:snRNA from 1 species